ACUUGAAUAGCUUAUUUAGAGCAUGGCAUUGAAGAUGCUAGGGAAAUUAAUUUAAUUUUUAGGUA
rnacentral:tRNA from 1 species